rnacentral:rRNA from 1 species
GGUGAACGCUGGCGGCGUGCUUAACACAUGCAAGUCGAGCGAUGAAGUUUCCUUCGGGAAACGGAUUAGCGGCGGACGGGUGAGUAACACGUGGGUAACCUGCCUCAUAGAGUGGAAUAGCCUUCCGAAAGGAAGAUUAAUACCGCAUAACGUUGAAAGAUGGCAUCAUUAUUCAACCAAAGGAGCAAUCCGCUAUGAGAUGGACCCGCGGCGCAUUAGCUAGUUGGUAAGGUAACGGCUUACCAAGGCGACGAUACAUAGCCGACCUGAGAGGGUGAUCGGCCACACUGGGACUGAGACACGGCCCAG